GGGCCCAUAGCUCAGUGGCAGAGCGGCCGGCUCAUAACCGGUUGGUCCCUGGUUCGAAUCCAGGUGGGCCCA
rnacentral:tRNA from 1 species